rnacentral:lncRNA from 1 species
CUUCCAGGCACUGUGCUAGGCCCUGGGGAUACUAAGAGGAAUGACGAGCUGAGGCAAACUCAUUGUGUCUCUUUGGACACAGGUGGCAGAGGAAGCUCUGGAGACCAUUGGCCACCUCUUCUGUCUGCUGUCAGUUGAAAAUCUUGAGAGUCGUGUUUACUGGUUAACCAAAUGGUUCACGACUCUGACUUCCACAGCAGUGAGGCCACUCUACAUGUGCAAGUGUCUCUGCGGCGUCCUGAAAGCCCUGUACCGCAGCAAACACGGAGGUCGCAAGGUACAAUCCUGGGCAGAGGAGCUGGCAGGCAUCCUCCUGAAGCAGAUGAGUGACAAAGAGAGCCAGCCACCAGCUCUUUGUGAUGAGACCGAAACAUUAUCCCUGAGGGCAUUUAACCUGUUGAGCCACUUAUGCCUGGACACCACAGUCCAUGUUCUGAAGAGGGCAAUAACCGCAGAAGAGGAGCCCACAGUGCUGGCAGCACUUGAGGCCUUCAGGGAGGUGAUCCAUGGAGCACCACAAGCGGAAACGCUGAAGAGGGAGGUGCUGGCUUCGGUUACUUCAGUGAUACAGAAGGAUCGAAGACCAGUGCGCAUGGCCCUCCUGAGGUUCCUGGAGGCGCUGGGGCAGCGUGACUACCUGAGCCUUCCCGAGGGCAGGGUGGUCAUAGAUUACCUCCUGAAGCUCAGCCAGUGGGACUCCUCGGUGAGCAGGGCCAUCCCUGAGGGGACCUGAGGCAGUAGAAAGGCUGAGGGGAGGGGAGAGAGAAAGGGCAGGGUGCAGAGCAGAGCGGGGACAGGAGGCUGGGCCGGCAGGACUGGGGUCUGGGGACUUUGCCCUUCCCAAACCUUGUCCUUGGCCCCAGGAAGCCUUGAUUCAGGUGGGUCAGCAGGCAAUGCUUCCAGAUUUUAGUUCUUUUUUCUUCUUCCAGAAUGAAGCGGACAUUGGACUCAUGUCUUUGAAAGUCCUGCAGACGGUACAAACAGCUGGGGUCACACAGGCCUCUGCAUUCCUC